AACUCAUAUGCAUGAUUUUCCUUCAUUUGGCAAACCCUAACGCCUCCUGCACUCUCUCUUGCCCUCACGUCAUAAUUCUUGCCGGAAAUGAUAAGUUUUUAGGCGUGUGUGCUUUUGGUCAGUGUCUUCAAGACACUCUCAUCCUCACCACCGUGAAUCAACCUCAAAGUCGUGGGAAAGCUGAAGGAAAUCCCUACUUCCAAUCUCGACAAGGCUGCCACCACAAAAGGUCUGCCCAAGCAUAACUUGGCCCGCAGGAGCGAAAAUUCGAGUCAUUUAAUGAAUUCUGCCCUAGCGGGCGAGUAUCCACUGAGGCUGGAUCGCGGAAGCUAGAUUCCCUUUGCCCAGCGAUUGUCACUAAAUUAGAAACUUUAUUUCAUUCCCCAACUUCGAACCAUUAUUCCCAUUCACCAAAAAUCUAAUCCUAAGGAGUGUUGUGGGCGAUUUCUGAAGAAGUGUGGUGGAAUCAUCAUGGGACUUUGAUCGUUUUGAGGCGCUUCAGAAAGGGAAGGCUCAGUUGGAGUAGUACGUGGUUCCUGUUCGGCAAUUGAGGUAGGUUACGACUUACUUUAGUUAUACUUUGAUUAGUGAAACGUAUAUAUGCGUAGAAUUAACGGGAGAAAGCAAGAUUAGGUCUUCGGACAUGAUGUUGGGAUGGAUAAACAUUUAGGUUGGUAUGACUUCUGAUAAUGUGUACUUGUUUAUAUGUUUGGAGUGAUGUGGUGUGAUAGAUUCACUAUAUUGAUCCAAACUCGAUGUUCAUUCCAUUUCCAUAGUUGUUGUGAUUUAUACAAUUCUUGAUGUGGCUUCUGGUGUUAUGAUUUCCAUAGCAUGUUCAUUGGCAUUGAUUGCAUUUGAUUUAGCGUUCUUGUAUUUAUACACUCAUACAUGAAGGAAAUGGUGUGGAAACGAUGUGAUGAAAGAAAUGUGGUACUGAUGAUGAAAGAUUUAUGGUAACUAUGAAAGAAAAUGUGACACCUUUGAUGAAAGCAUUAUGUGAAUCCGUGUGUUACACCUCGAACAUUUCGUAUUGUUGUGCUGCGAAUAGACUAACUCAAGCUUAAGGUGAACAUAAGUCCAUGUGACCUUAAGGAGGGUAUUUGGUAGCUUAAAGGUGUAUACUACAAGAUUUUGAAGGAUUACGAAUCGGAGAAAUUAAACUUGUGAAGGAAGUGAAGCAUAAGUUGUGUUUGUGAAGGUUUAGCGAUUAUUGAGCUAACAAUUGUUUAGUAAUGUCUUGAGGAGAAGCUAUAGGGCUACUUAGAUGGUUAACCAACUGUUAAACAAGUGCCAAGAAGGUUCUGCAAGGAUUGAAGGUUGAAUGAAGCGGCUAGAGCAAGUUUCGGGAAAUUUCAGAUUGUACGGCCAUUUGUACGGACCGUAUAAUUUAUAUGGCCUGUAUAAUGGUCCGUUGAAUGCUUCCAGAGGAGAGUGACCCUUGGUAGGAUUAUACGGUCCAAUUGUACAGACCGUACAAUUUAUACGGCCUGUAUAAUUGGUCGUAUAACCGGGUUGGGUCACUUUUUUCUCUUUCCAUAUAUGCACGACCCUUGUUCCGAAUUUUCAUUUCCCACACUCUCCACACCUCUUGAGAGCUCUAGAAUAUUCCACGCACCAUAUUAACACAAAUCCAAGGGAAAUCAAGGACUAAACACCAAGAAU